rnacentral:rRNA from 1 species
AUUGAACGCUGGCGGCAUGCCUUACACAUGCAAGUCGAACGGCAGCGCGGGAGCAAUCCUGGCGGCGAGUGGCGAACGGGUGAGUAAUACAUCGGAACGUGCCCAAUCGUGGGGGAUAACGCAGCGAAAGCUGUGCUAAUACCGCAUACGAUCUACGGAUGAAAGCAGGGGAUCGCAAGACCUUGCGCGAAUGGAGCGGCCGAUGGCAGAUUAGGUAGGUGGUGAGGUAAAGGCUCACCAAGCCUUCGAUCUGUAGCUGGUCUGAGAGGACGACCAGCCACACUGGGACUGAGACACGGACCAGACUCCGACGGGGGGCAGCAGUGGGGAAUUUUGGACAAUGGGCGCAAGCCUGAUCCAGCCAUGCCGCGUGCAGGAUGAAGGCCUUCGGGUUGUAAACUGCUUUUGUACGGAACGAAACGGCUCUUUCUAAUAAAGAGGGCUAAUGACGGUACCGUAAGAAUAAGCACCGGCUAACUACGUGCCAGCCGCCGCAGUAAAAC